rnacentral:rRNA from 1 species
AACGAACGCUGGCGGCAGGCCUAACACAUGCAAGUCGAGCGAGACCUUCGGGUCUAGCGGCGGACGGGUGAGUAACGCGUGGGAACGUGCCCUUUUCUACGGCAUAGCCUCGGGAAACUGAGCGUAAUACCGUAUACGCCCUUUGGGGGAAAGAUUUAUCGGAGAAGGAUCGGCCCGCGUUGGAUUAGGUAGUUGGUGGGGUAAUGGCCUACCAAGCCUACGAUCCAUAGCUGGUUUGAGAGGAUGAUCAGCCACACUGGGACUGAGACACGGCCCAGACUCCUACGGGAGGCAGCAGUGGGGAAUCUUAGACAAUGGGGGCAACCCUGAUCGAGCCAUGCCGCGUGAGUGAUGAAGGCCUUAGGGUUGUAAAGCUCUUUCAGCUGGGAAGAUAAUGACGGUACCAGCAGAAGAAGCCCCGGCUAACUCCGUG